UACGGAGGGUGCAAGCGUUAUCCGGAUUCACUGGGUUUAAAGGGUGCGUAGGUGGGUUGGUAAGUCAGUGGUGAAAUCCCCGAGCUUAACUUGGGAACUGCCAUUGAUACUAUCAGUCUUGAAUACCGUGGAGGUCAGUGGAAUAUGUCAUGUAGCGGUGAAAUGCUUAGAUAUGACAUAGAACACCAAUUGCGAAGGCAGCUGGCUACACGAAUAUUGACACUGAGGCACGAAAGCGUGGGGAUCAAAC
rnacentral:rRNA from 1 species